UACAGAGGUCUCAAGCGUUGUUCGGAUUCAUUGGGCGUAAAGGGUGCGUAGGCGGCGCGGUAAGUCGGGUGUGAAAUCUCGGAGCUUAACUCCGAAACUGCAUUCGAUACUGCCGUGCUUGAGGACUGGAGAGGAGACUGGAAUUUACGGUGUAGCGGUGAAAUGCGUAGAUAUCGUAAGGGAAGACCAGUGGCGAAGGCGGGU
rnacentral:rRNA from 1 species